UAUUAUUACAACACUUUGGCUAUACUAUAAUUCAUUUGUUACCUGACUAUAACUUGGAUACACUGAAAAGAAUCUGAUGUUAUAGUUGGAAGCUGGUUUAAGAAGAGAUUUCUUUAAAUUUUAAGUUCAAUUAAAUUAUGCUUCACUACUUCUUUGAAACUGUACUCACUUGCUUCACACUAGUUCCUGUUCCAAUCCCUAAAGUGUAGAAAAGAUUUACUUAUUGCUUAAAUAAAGGCUUUCUGAAUAAUAACCCCAUGGGACAAGCCAGAGCCCAGGUGCUCUGUUUGUAUGACUUCAUCCUAAAAGUACCACAUUUACUGCUGGAGAGGUAGCAAUAUGUUUCUGAAAUAAUUUGUAGGUUUAAAAAAAAACUUUAAGGAAAAAUAUGAAUAAAAUAUUAAGCCAAAGCACAUGGGUUCCAGGUGUGUAUCCAAGACAGCUUUUUGACAAGUAAAUAUUUCC
rnacentral:lncRNA from 1 species